AUUGAACGCUGGCGGCAGGCUUAACACAUGCAAGUCGAGCGGGGGAGGUUGCUUCGGUAACUGACCUAGCGGCGGACGGGUGAGUAAUGCUUAGGAAUCUGCCUAUUAGUGGGGGACAACAUUCCGAAAGGGAUGCUAAUACCGCAUACGCCCUACGGGGGAAAGCAGGGGAUCUUCGGACCUUGCGCUAAUAGAUGAGCCUAAGUCGGAUUAGCUAGUUGGUGGGGUAAAGGCCUACCAAGGCGACGAUCUGUAGCGGGUCUGAGAGGAUGAUCCGCCACACUGGGACUGAGACACGGCCCAGACUCCUACGGGAGGCAGCAGUGGGGAAUAUUGGACAAUGGGCGGAGGCCUGAUCCAGCCAUGCUGCGUGUGUGAAGAAGGCCUUUUGGUUGUAAAGCACUUUAAGCGAGGAGGAGGCUCUUAAGGUUAAUACCCUUGAUGAGUGGACGUUACUCGCAGAAUAAGCACCGGCUAACUCUGUGCCAGCAGCCGCCGUAACAC
rnacentral:rRNA from 1 species